rnacentral:rRNA from 1 species
UUUGUAUAAUGGGUCAGCGACUUAUAUUCAGUGGCAAGGUUAACCAUCUAGGGGAGCCGUAGGGAAACCGAGUCUUAACUGGGCGUUCAGUCUCUGGAUAUAGACCCGAAACCAGGUGAUCUAGCCAUGGGCAGGUUGAAGGUUGAGUAACAUCAACUGGAGGACCGAACCGACUAAUGUUGAAAAAUUAGCGGAUGACUUGUGGCUAGGGGUGAAAGGCCAAUCAAACCUGGAGAUAGCUGGUUCUCCCCGAAAGCUAUUUAGGUAGCGCCUCGGACGAAUACUACUGGGGGUAGAGCACUGUUAAGGCUAGGGGGUCAUCCCGACUUACCAACCCUUUGCAAACUCCGAAUACCAGUAAGUACUAUCCGGGAGACACACGGCGGGUGCUAACGUCCGUCGUGGAGAGGGAAACAACCCAGACCGCCAGCUAAGGUCCCAAAUUACUACUAAGUGGGAAACGAUGUGGGAAGGCUCAGACAGCCAGGAUGUUGGCUUAGAAGCAGCCAUCAUUUAAAGAAAGCGUAAUAGCUCACUGGUCGAGUCGGCCUGCGCGGAAGAUGUAACGGGGCUAAGUAGUAAACCGAAGCUGCGGCAAUAUACUUUUGUAUAUUGGGUAGGGGAGCGUUCUGUAAGCGGUUGAAGGUGUGUGGUAACGCAUGCUGGACGUAUCAGAAGUGCGAAUGCUGACAUGAGUAACGAUAAAGGGGGUGAAAAACCUCCUCGCCGGAAGACCAAGGGUUCCUGUCCAACGUUAAUCGGGGCAGGGUAAGUCGACCCCUAAGGCGAGGCCGAAAGGCGUAGUCGAUGGGAAACGGGUUAAUAUUCCCGUACUUCUUACAAUUGCGAUGGGGGGACGGAGAAGGCUAGGUGGGCCUGGCGACGGUUGUCCAGGUUCAAGUGCGUAGGCUUAAGAGUUAGGUAAAUCCGGCUCUUUUUAAG